UCGGCUGUCAGUCGGUGGAGGCGUGCU
rnacentral:sRNA from 1 species